GUUUAUUUGAUUCUUCUCUCUUUUUUAUUAGUCUGGCUAGUGGUCUAUCUAUACAGUAUUGUACAAUUUUUUUUUUUUUUUUUUUUAACAGGCAGUGUCUCUCUUUGUUGCCGAGGCCAGUGUGCUGUGACAUGAUCAUAGUUCACUACACCCUUAACCUCUAGGGCUCAAGUGAUUCUUUCCUCUCAGCCUUUUGAGUAGCUGGUACUACAGGCAUGUAUCACCAUGCACAGCUAAUUAAAAAAAAUUUUUUUAAAGAUGGGGUCUCACUAGCAGGUUUCAAACUCUUAGCUUCAAGUAGUUCCCCCACUUCAGCCUCCCGAAGUGCUGGGAUUAUAAAUGUGAGCUACCACAUCUGGCCUAGAAAAUGAGUUUUAGAGAAAAAAGGUAGUUAAUAUUUUAAAAUUUAAUACAUGAUUUUAUUAAACAUAAUUGAUAAAAGACUUCUAGAAAUCAUUUUUAAGAUUAUUACCAAAGUUAAUGUUCUGUGUUUCUCAUUCUACCACUUUAGACUUUACUAAGCUUCCUGACACUUUUGUCCUCGUCCAUAAUUAUGGUUUGUUUGUACAUUAAUGAUUUGUGCAGCUUUUUCCCCACUGUCUCUUAAGAAAGUAUUGAGCCUGCAGAAGAGCCAGGCUUUUACUGUGGUAAAAAAGAGCAUGAAGUGAUAGAACAAGUUCAUAAAAAUCUAGAUAUAGAGCUAGAAAGUUCUGGUACAAUGUCCUCAUUCUACAGUAAAGAAACCUAAGACUGAGUCAUUAUUUACAUAUUAUUUUAUAUACUUAUCUUUCUUAGAACCAGAACUUCUAAUAAUUUGGGCUUUUGGAUCCCAUUCCUCUGUACAUUUCCUUACUAUUACAGUACUCACCUCUGGGUCCAUCCUUCCAACUCUAGUGCAGUGAUUUAUUUUGAAACUUUUUUUUUUUUUUAACUUGGAGAAAAAUUAUAAAAAUAGAGCAGACCUUUAUCCAGAUUUAUGAGUUUUUAACAUUUCACUGCAUUUGCUAAUUCAUCACUCACUUUGUCUUUAUCUAAAUAUCUGUAUUUUAUCUUUUUUUUUUAGUGUUUCAAUGUGCUUUUCUCAAGAACAAAGUUAGUUUCUUAUGUAACUUCAGUACAGUUAUGAAAAUCAAGACAUUUAAUACUGAUAAUAUUGUUUAUUCUGCAGUCUCCAUACACAUAUUUUUUAUUAUUCCAUUAUGUGUUCUUUAUAGCUGUUUUUUUCUCCCAGUCCUGAAGAGGAUUAUACAUGAAAUUUACUUCCCAUGUUUCUUAAAUCUGUAAUAAUCUCCUUUUGUGUGUGUGUGUGUGUGUGUGUGUGUGUGUGUGUUGUUUUCUUUACGUUCACAUUUUUGAAGAGUUUAGGCUGAUUAUUUUGUGGAAUGGGCCCAGUUUGGGUUUUUUUUUUUCCCCCUCUGAUUUCUCAUGAUUAGAUUCAGGUUAUAUUUUAUUAGCAGGACUAUGGAGUGAUGAUGUCUUAUGUAAUAUUUGGAGGCACAUAGUGUCCAUGUCUUUUUUUAUUGGGGAUGUUAAAUUUGAUUAAAAUUUUAUCAUAAACUUAGUUACAGCUGUGCUGCCACUGUACAUUUACUGUUUUUCUCCCUAUAGUGUUAAUAAGUGUUUUAUGAAGAGAUAAUUUGAGACUAUGUAAAUAUGCUGUUCCUCAUCAGACUUUCACUCACAGUUUUAGCAUCAUGGGUAAAGUUUACCCAAAUAGUUGUUACUAUAAUGGUUGCCAAAAAUGGUGAUUUUUCUAACACCAUCAUCCUUUUCAUGUUUAUUACUUGAUAUUUUACUCUAAAGAAAAACUUCUGUUUCUCCAGUUUAUCUAUCAGUGUGGACUCACCAAAAGAUUCUGUUUUAUUCAUUAGAUAUCAGUCUAUUACUAGUAUUACUUACUUGGUUAACUGUAUGAUUUGGCUAGUGGGAGUUCCUUCAGGCUAACUUCCGUGACUUAAAAAAAAAAAAAAUCUACUUUAUUGGACAUAUAAUUUAUAUACAGUAAACUGUGUCCCUUUAAAAUAUAUAAUCUGAUAAGUUUGAUAGAUGUAUAAACCCAUGAAAACAUGUACAGAAUAUUUCCAUUACCCCAAAAAUAUUGCUCAUGCUUUUUGCAUUCCAUUUCUUUUUCUGCCCUAGUCCUAUGCAAUCAUAGAUCAGGUUUGUCAUUAUGGAUUAGUUUGCAAUGCUAUGUCAUUUUGACAUGUCUCCUUCAUUUUCUGUGAACUUCUGUAAUAAAAGAUAUUCCAAGCUCAUUUUGAACCUUCCCUACCCCAAUCUUAGAAUCAGCUACUUAUCAAGGCAAACUUUUUUUUUUAAGAGAGGAAUAGUGUUUGAGCAUCAAGAUCUGGGUAGAUGUGUGCUCAUUUCUACUGGGGUAAUAUUGCUUCUGAGCCUUCUUAGCGAAUUAAGCUGGAAAAUGCUUACAAACACAUACACUUCCAUACCUCUGCCCAUAUGUCUUUAUCAUUCAUUGGUCUCUCUAUCUUUACUGGUACCUUUAAUUCCAAUUUAAUACCAGAAGGUAUAUUGUCGUGUCUAAUGAUUUUAUUUCUAAGCCCAUUGACCAUAGAAAUGUAUGAAAUGAGUAACUGAAUUUGCUUUACUUCUAAGGAAAUUGAUUUUUUCUUCCAAGUUUUAGUUAUCCGAAUAUUGCAAGCUACAAUUAUAUUGCCUGUGUUAAUUUGCUUUUUAGUAUAAAGGCUAUUAGGCUUGAAAGGAUGAAUGCUUAGAAAGCAAUAUUAUAAUUCAUGGUUUAUCAAUAGAUUAUGAGUCUAGAAAAACCAGUAUGAAUUUAGUUUCUAAAAGACAUGUGUAGAAUAAGUCUUGGAAUUUUAGAAAGUGACAGGAAAAAAUGUUGCUUUACACAGUCAUAAAAUAUCAGUAAUUGUUCUAUAAAGUAGACAGUAUAUAAUAUAUCUAAUAAUGAGGGCUAGGGAUAAUGAAUGAGAUUGUGAGGAAAAAUUGCUUGUAUAAUACCAGAUUUUCAGGUCAGAAUUUUCAGUUAAUUAUAGUAAUAAUUUGUAAAUUAUAAAGUGAAGACGCACAUUAUUUUGAUGGCUCCUUGCCUUCCACCAAGUCUUGUGGAAGCAAAGGCUUGGGUGUGUUCAAGAUCUGGCUUCACCGGAACCCACGGCUGUGGUAGAAGAGGGCGUUGUUGCUGGAGAUGUAAUGGAUGUUAACACUGCUACUGCUUUAUAAGAGGUUCUGAAGACCACCCUCAUGCACAGUAACCUAUUAGUGGAAUUUGUGAAGCUGGCCAAGCUUUAGACAAGUGCCAAGCUCAUGUUUGUGUGCUUGCAUCCAUCUGUGAUGAGCCUUUUUAUGCCAAGUUGAUGGCGGCCCUUUGUGCUAACACCAGAUCAACCUAAUUAAGGUUGCUGACAACAAGCAGCUAGGAAGUGAGAAGGGCUCUGUAAAAUUGACAGAGAGGGAAUACCCUCAAAGAAGUUGGUUGUGGUUGUACAGUAGUUAAGGAAUAUGGCAAAGAAUCUCAGUCCCAGUAUGUCAUCAAAGAGUCCUUCAAAUGCAAGAAAUGAACAAAUAAAACCUUGUUAUCACAUUUAAAAAAAUUAGUUUGAUGAAUAGUUUGAACUCUGCUAUAAUUUUUAGAAUAAACAUGUGACCAAAGGAAGAAGUGGAGGCUAUUUUAACAAGUGAACAUUUCUUAACCUUUGUAUAUAUUAAGUUCUGAUUUUCUGAGCGUAUGUAAUCCUCCCUGUAGUCCAGAGGUGUAAGGGUCAAAGCUCUAGAGGGAAGACAAAUGUGAACUAAGUAUACUUAUAGAAUAAGAUGAUCUGCGUUACUUUAGGUAGGUAUAGAAAAUGUUGGAGGAAGAUAUUUCUUAAUACUUUGCCACUUCAUUUUGCUUAAUAUGCAAAUUUUCAUCAGAAAUGUCACAGGAAACAGAAAAUAUAAUCUGCAACUCUAAUCCUUGAAGAGGCAGGGAAAAAGGAGGAUGGCUUUUAAAGCUUCUGUACAAAAUUGACAUGUCAUUUCCACUAACAUAGUAUUUGGCAGUUAUGGCCAUGCAUGCCUAAGUGCAGCAGGGUUGGGAUAUGUAAUUUUCUUACAAGGAGGAGCACCAGAUAUUUGUGUACAGUAUUAUGCUCUACCAUACAUACAUCCUGGAUCACCUUUAAAGAAUCCCUUUGUUUAAAGCUCAUUAGCCUUUGAAAGGAGUUGAAAUUUACUCUUAACCAUUAGUUUGCAGCUCUCUGUAAGUACUACCUAACUGCAUGUGCUACAAAGUAAUGAAAAAAGCAUGAGCCCCUUGGCUAUUUAAUAUGACUGGGGAUGCCCAGUUGCCUCUCAUUUUUGUGUUCUUUUACUAUUUUUUUGUCAUUAACUUAGGAAUAAACUUUUAAAGAUUCUAAAUGUUCCUAAGGCUCUUUAAUGAAUUAAACAACAAAAAUAGUUCUAGUUGUUUAAUUUAGUUUUAGUUGUUUAAUAGUUUGUUUUCUUUAAUACAGGUGCUGAUCGUAUUGAAAGAUAGAAAAAUCAUUGAGUUAGGAAUCAGUGGAGAAGGAAUCAUACCAAAUAGGUGUACUUUCACUAUUUUCUGUUACAUUUAUUUGAAAGUGCUUGGUAUCAAUUCUGAAGUCAGAACUUAGUUUAAGGAUGUGUAAAAA